rnacentral:rRNA from 1 species
AGCGAACGCUGGCGGCAGGCCUAACACAUGCAAGUCGAACGCACCUUCGGGUGAGUGGCGGACGGGUGAGUAACACGUGGGAACGUACCUUUUGGUUCGGAACAACACAGGGAAACUUGUGCUAAUACCGGAUGAGCCCUAUGGGGAAGGAUUAUCGCCGAAGAGCGGCCCGCCGUUAGAUUAGCUAGUUGGUGGGGUAAAGGACCCACCAAGGCUCCGAUCUAUAGCUGGUCUGAGAGGAUGAUCAGCCACACUGGGACUGAGACACGGCCCAGACUCCUGCGGGAGGCAGCAGUGGGGAAUCUUGCGCAAUGGGCGGAAAGCCUGACGCAGCCAUGCCGCGUGAAUGAUGAAGGUCUUAGGAAUUGUAAAAUUCUUUUAGCAGGGACGAUAAUGACGGUACCUGCAGAAAAAGCCCCGGCUAACUUCGUGCCAGCAGCCGCCGUAAG